GCAAGAGCUGUUGUUGGUA
rnacentral:siRNA from 1 species